AUUACUGAUUUUAUUUUAUUUAUGAAUAUUCUGUUGGCUAUUUAUACAUAAAAUUGGCAGCGGUUAAACAUAUUUUAGUAAAGAUAGGAGCCAGGCAUUGUUAUUCCCUUAAUGUUUAAAAUGUCAUUUCCACAACAAAAUGAAAUAAGCUAAACCAAAUGCAGAAAUUGAGAUGUGGUGAAAUUUACAUUUAUUCAUAACGUUACUGGAGGAAAAAUCUGAUGCAUGAACAGUAGCCUAUAUCCACAGCUGGAUACUGACAAAUUAAACAAAUCAGUGAAAAGGUGUGUUUUGAGGGAUUUAUUAUAUAGUAUUCGAAAAAACACCAUAGCCGGUCAGAGCAGGAGUUGGUGUGCUAGUGUGUCAAACUUCUCGAUCACGACAACAUGAGUUUACGUCUUCCAAAGUUGAUCCGCGACAGCUUGCGAGCCAGAGGAAAGGGCACAUAUGGAGAAGCAGACGCGCCUCUCGCAGAAAAACGCUAAACUAACAGGAGAAGUCCCCAAAGAGAGGAGCGAGAACGCCAGAGAGGUGCUAAACGAGAACAGAAGAUGCCUGGGAAACAAAUGUAAGCUUAUUUUUGAUCACUGUAGGACAAACAAACAAAUAUUCACAAGCAUUCAUCCGACAUAUGGGAAAAGAUCCAGCUGCGGUCUCGAAAUUCAGGCGGUUUCAUCUAAUCCACUGAUAAUCUCUUCCACAGAGACGUGAACUAGAAAUAGCAGAGAAAUCCAGCCGAAGAAAGCAUAGUCAAGCAUAUUUUUCACUCACACUGCUGACAAGACAUCAGGAAGAUUGUAAAAAAAUGACAACAAACUUGAAGAAAAGGCUUGCUGCGCUCGCAUUUAUCAAACACAAGCCCUGUCUUACACUGUGUGACAUUCAAAUAGGGACACACAACUCAUGUCCUUAGUCAUUCUGACUCUGUAAUAAAUGCAACUGCUAUAAUUGUAAAAAAAAGAUUGGAUGCAAACAACAAAGUGUGAUUAAGUUUUAGUGUGUGUCGGGACGGGAGCGGAGGGGUUUGGUAAUGUGGCAGUUGGCUGCUCCCCGUGGAGUCGCCCACCUUCACACCAAACUCCCAAAUAAACAAGGUCGACUCAUUUAAAAACAGCUCCGGCCACAAACGAGGCCCCAUUAUUCAAAUUCUAUUCAGCCAAAGUUUGUUGCAUUGGCAAGGCCAUGCAGAUUAUGCACACCAUUGUUGAAUAAAUUCACCUUUCAAAUCUGGUGUGAAUAUUUUAAGAUAUGAAUUCGAAAAGAAGGACAUGAAGCUUUUUUAAGGGCACUGAGACUCUGGAUGAAAUCAGCAUAAAUGUAGUUCAUGUGACUUUCAACUUUUAGUCAUUACACUCUCAGAAAAAAAGAUACGAAAGCUGUCACUGGGGCGGUACCUUUUCAAGAGGUACACUUUUGUACUUUUAAGGUACUAAUAUGUACACUUUAGGUACUUACAUGUAUCUUUAAGGAACCAAUAUGGACUCUUUAGGUACAAAAGUGUACCUUUUGAAAAGGUACCACACCAGUGACAGCUUUUUUGUACCAUUUUUUUUCUGAGAGUGUAUAAUACAUUUUGAAUGAGGACUCAUC
rnacentral:lncRNA from 1 species